rnacentral:rRNA from 1 species
UGAAGAAUUUGUCCAACGGUGGGGGAUAGCCGGCCCAACGGCCGGGUAAUACCGCGUACGCCCUUCGAGCGGCAUCGCUUGAUGGGGAAAGUCGCAAGACGCCGAUGGAGAACUUCGCGGCCUAUCAGCUAGUUGGUGAGGUCAUGGCUCACCAAGGCGACGACGGGUAGCUGGUCUGAGAGGAUGGCCAGCCACAUUGGGACUGAGACACGGCCCAGACUCCUACGGGAGCAG